rnacentral:lncRNA from 1 species
GAUGAAAAAGUUUCUUUUUAUACUUUGAAUUUUUUUAUGAAUUUAUCUAUUUUACCUUCUUUUUUUGAAUUUUAUUUAAUACUUUAAUAAAUCAAAAAUUUCAAAUUUAUUCAAAAAUUCUACAUUUCAUUUUCUAAUUUAUGUACCAUGUGACUUUAUUUUAAGUCAUUCAUUAAAAACCAUUUUGUAUUUUAUAUUUUACAUUUACAAAAUACAAUAACUUAACAUUAACAAGAUUAUGGAUGAAGAACAUAAAAUUACACUCAAUCUUAAACUCCGGAUGCAUCAUUUCCUCAAACUGAAAAUAUAAUUACAUAUACACAUACA